rnacentral:rRNA from 1 species
AGCACCCCGACGAGGGGAGUGAAACAGUUUCUGAAACCGGACGCCUACAAACAGUUGGAGCCCCUUAUGGGGUGACAGCGUACCUUUUGUAUAAUGGGUCAACGACUUGGUCUUACUAGCAAGCUUAAGCCGAUAGGUGUAGGCGCAGCGAAAGCGAGUCUUAAUAGGGCGAAUGAGUUAGUAGGAUCAGACCCGAAACCGAGUGAUCUAGGCAUGAGCAGGUUGAAGGUAAGGUAACACUUACUGGAGGACCGAACCCACAUCUGUUGAAAAAGAUCGGGAUGACUUGUGCCUAGGGGUGAAAGGCCAAUCAAACUCGGAGAUAGCUGGUUCUCCGCGAAAUCUAUUUAGGUAGAGCGUCGCACGAAUACCUUGGGGGGUAGAGCACUGAAUGGGUAAUGGGGACUCACCGUCUUACUGAUCCUAAUCAAACUCCGAAUACCCAAGAGUAAUAUGCGGCAGACACACUGCGGAUGCUAACGUCCGUAGUGGAGAGGGAAACAACCCUGACCCUCAGCUAAGGCCCCUAAUUCAUGGCUAAGUGGGAAAGCAGGUGGGACGACCAAAACAACCAGGAAGUUGGCUUAGAAGCAGCCAUCUUUUAAAGAUAGCGUAACAGCUCACUGGUCUAAUUUAAGUUAUCCUGCGGCGAAGAUGUACCGGGGCUCAAGCCAUGAGCCGAAGCUAGGGAUGCAAUUUAUUGCAUGGUAGCGGAGCGUUCUGUGAUAUAGAACGCUGCGUCUUUAGUAUCUUAGGAUAUUGUGGACGCAAUGUUCUGACUGUGAAGCCGGCGCGUAAGCGAUCCGGUGGAGUGAUCAGAAGUGAGAAUGUUGACAUGAGUAGCGACAAACAGGGUGAGAGACCCUGUCGCCGAAAGUCCAAGGGUUCCUGCUUAAAGCUAAUCUGAGCAGGGUAAGCCGACCCCUAAGGCGAGGCCGAAAGGCGUAGUCGAUGGGAACCAGUUUAAUAUUACUGGGCCAGGAGAUGGUGACGGAUCGAAAGCGUAGUGACUCCUUAUCGGAUUGAAGUUGCUGCCGGACGGUUCCUGGAAAUAGCCCUCCAUUAGAUCGUACCCUAAACCAACACAGGUGGACUGGUAGAGAAUACCAAGGCGCUUGAGAGAACUACAUUGAAGGAACUCGGCAAAAUGCCUCCGUAAGUUCGCGAGAAGGAGGCCCCAUCAGAAGGCAACUUUUGGUGGGGGGCACAGACCAGGGGGUGGCGACUGUUUACUAAAAACACAGGGCUCUGCGAAGUCGUAAGACGACGUAUAGGGUCUGACGCCUGCCCGGUGCUGGAAGGUUAAGAGGAGGUGUGCAAGCACUGAAUUGAAGCCCCAGUAAACGGCGGCCGUAACUAUAACGGUCCUAAGGUAGCGAAAUUCCUUGUCGGGUAAGUUCCGACCUGCACGAAUGGCGUAACGACUUCCCCGCUGUCUCCAAUGUAGACUCAGCGAAAUUGAAUUGCCUGUUAAGAUGCAGGCUUCCCGCGGUUAGACGGAAAGACCCCGUGCACCUUUACUACAGCUUCACACUGGCAUUAGGUCAGACGUGUGCAGGAUAGGUGGUAGGCUUUGAAACUCGGACGCCAGUUCGGGUGGAGCCUUCCUUGAGAUACCACCCCUGUCUGUCUUGAUGUCUAACCGCGGUCCGUUAUCCGGAUCCGGGACCCUGUGUGGCGGGUAGUUUGACUGGGGCGGUCGCCUCCUAAAGAGUAACGGAGGCGCGCGAUGGUUGGCUCAGACCGGUCGGAAAUCGGUCGUCGAGUGCAAUGGCAUAAGCCAGCCUGACUGUGAGUCUGACAAGACGAGCAGAGACGAAAGUCGGUCAUAGUGAUCCGGUGGUCCCGAGUGGAAGGGCCAUCGCUCAACGGAUAAAAGGUACGCCGGG